GAUAGACGCUGGCGGCGUGCCUAACACAUGCAAGUCGAACGCCCUUUUGCGCAAGUGAGAGGGAGUGGCGGACGGGUGAGUACCACGUGGGUACCUACCUUGAGGUGAGGAAUACCACCGAGAAAUCGGUGACAAGACCGCAUACGCUUGGCAACAAGCAAAGUCUCGCAAGAGACGCCACAAGAUGGGCCUGCGCCUGAUUAGCUAGUUGGUGAGGUAAUGGCUCACCAAGGCGACGAUCAGUAGCUGGUCUGAGAGGAUGAUCAGCCACACUGGGAUUGAGAACGGCCCAGACUCCGUACGGGGGC
rnacentral:rRNA from 1 species